GAAAUCCCUAUAAUACCUAACAUAUUUUCUGAGGGGUGCAUCAGGUGGCGCCACUACUGAUCCAUUCCAUAGGGUAUUGUCAUAGCCAAUCAGUCCACCAACCUUCACCAGGUCGAUUAAUCUCUUGUGAUAGUUCAAGUAAUUGUCCUUGUCAGCGUCCACAAAUAUGAAAUCAUAAGAUCCAUGAUAAUUUCCCUGUUACCAAAAAUUAGCAUUGCAGAACUUUAAUGUAUUUAUUUGAUAUUAUUGUUGUGUUCAUGGAUUUUAGGUACUUACGUCUUCAAUCAUUUGGUCAAGCACGGGAAGUGCAGGGCCUUCUCUGAAUUCAAUUUUGUGUGCUAAUCCAGCCUUUUCAAUGACUGGAAGACCAAUCUCAUAGUUCUCCCGAUUGAUAUCCAU
rnacentral:lncRNA from 1 species